rnacentral:rRNA from 1 species
AUGCAGUCCUAUCUUAAUCGGGAAGUCAUCGGUGUUGACAUCACUUGUUCGAACACUUGUCACAACAUUAUUGUACAUGUCCUUGAUGAGGGUAAUGUACUUUGUUGGGACUUUGUGUUUCUCCAAGGCCCACCACAUGACAUUCCGCGGUAUCUUAUCAUAGGCCUUCUCCAAGUCAAUAAACACCAUAUGCAUGAAACCAAACUGAUUUUGGUCACGCUUGUCAUUCUUCUUAAGCGGUGCUCAAUGACUCUCUCCCAUAGCUUCAUUGUAUGGCUCAUCAGCUUAAUUCCACGGUAA